rnacentral:rRNA from 1 species
AUUGAACGCUGGCGGCAGGCUUAACACAUGCAAGUCGAACGAGUGGCGGACGGGUGAGUAAUGCUUGGGAAUCUGGCUUGUGGAGGGGGAUAACGACGGGAAACUGUCGCUAAUACCGCGUACCAUAGGAUGAGCCCAAGUGGGAUUAGGUAGUUGGUGGGGUAAUGGCCUACCAAGGCGACGAUCCCUAGCUGGUCUGAGAGGAUGACCAGGCCCACCGGGACUGGGGAAAGGCCCGGGAUCCCAAGGGAAGGAGGAGUAGGGAAUCUUCGGCAAUGGACGGAAGUCUGAACGAGCAAAGCCGGGGGAGAUAAGAAGGGUUUCGGAUCGUAAAGCUCUUUUGUAAGAGAAGCGGUAUCUGACCAGAAAGGGACGGCUAACUACGUGCCAGCAGCCGCGGUAAUAC